rnacentral:rRNA from 1 species
UACGUAGGCGGCGAGCGUUGUCCGGAUUUACUGGGCGUAAAGAGCUUGUAGGCGGUUUGUCGCGUCUGCUGUGAAAUUUCGGGGCUCAACCCCGAACUUGCAGUGGGUACGGGCAGACUAGAGUGUGGUAGGGGAGACUGGAAUUCCUGGUGUAGCGGUGAAAUGCGCAGAUAUCAGGAGGAACACCGAUGGCGAAGGCAGGUCUCUGGGCCACUACUGACGCUGAGAAGCGAAAGCAUGGGGAGCGAACAGG